AUGCAGGUGACGAGUCCCAAAUAGGGCUAAAUGCGCGUUCUGGAU
rnacentral:hammerhead_ribozyme from 1 species